UGGCGAAGGUUUCAUUCUGGGAAGUUUUGGUAGUUUCCACCACAUUAGUGUUCCUGUUCUACGCGAUGCAAGGAGGAGGUUGCUCUGCUGUUCUUGCACAGCUACAUAGUGUAAAAGUUGAGGAGAGAGUUUUCGUAUUCCGACCUGCCACUACUACUACUCGUCGAACAACUACACAAUCGCGUCGUCCAGCAACCUUCAAGGGUCAAGGACGCUAGUGGAACUUCUUGCAGUCGUCCCAUCAAGCACUGAAUGGAGCCUAGAGCAACAUGGAAGAAAUGCCAUUCUUUGUUUCAACGGAUCACAGAAUACAAGAAAAGUUUGGUUGGGCACCGCGGGCAUUCCUGUCGAGCUGAAGAAUAAAAUUUUCCUCAUCUCUCGUUGAAAGACGCUGCAUGUCCUAAACUUUCGUCAAAUCUUCUUACUAGCAUUCGUGUAAGACAUUUGAACAUAUCUAUCUUGCACAGGUUGUAAAAUUUCUCUUAAUGGAAUUAAUUAUUUAACUCCUGUCAACAUGACUAAAAAAGAAGGCUUUCUUUCAACACUCAGCUAUUAUAUCUAAACUCAGUAUCUCUUCUCCGUGCUA